GAGAGCAUGUGCCUUGUGAGUGGAAGCUUACAUGCAAGAACACUUGGAAGACCCAAGCACCUCAAAUUGGUGCGCAUAUGGUGAUCAUAUGAUUUAGUGGGACAUAUGGCAUUGCAUGGGCCAAGUGCAGCGCAUAAAUGGAGCCAACAUUUAUACGCAUGGGACAUGUGGCGCAUUGGAGAGGGAACACUUGCAUGGACGUGGGAAUUGGCAAAUGAAUCCAUGCAUGAGAAGUGAGCCAAGCAUGUAGCGUGGAGCAAGGAAUUGCAAGUGAAGUGGUGCGGCACAUGGCCUUGACAAGUGAUGUUUGCAUGGGAACUUGCUAGGUGGCAAGGAUACAUCACGGCAAGUGGAACCAAGAGGCCUAAUUGCAUGGCCAGCCCAUUUUCAUGCAACGUGAAGUUGCUUAAGG
rnacentral:misc_RNA from 1 species